rnacentral:rRNA from 1 species
UACGUAGGGUGCGAGCGUUAAUCGGAAUUACUGGGCGUAAAGCGUGCGCAGGCGGUUUGUUAAGACAGAUGUGAAAUCCCCGGGCUCAACCUGGGAAUUGCGUUGGAGACUGCAAGGCUGGAGUCUGGCAGAGGGGGGGUGGAAUUCCACGUGUAAGCAGUGAAAUGCGUAGAGAUGUGGAGGAACACCGAUGGCGGAAGGCAGCCCCUGGGUUAACACCUG